CUGCAGUCAAUUAAGCCAACUGGGUUCCUCUGCUGGUGAGUGCCCAGUGUGCAAUGGCUGCAAAUAGCAACCUCUUCCGUAGUGUACACAGCCUGCUGCUUGUAUGGGCUGCCCUAAGAGACCUUGGAGACACUG
ensembl:snoRNA SNORA70 Small nucleolar RNA SNORA70